rnacentral:rRNA from 1 species
GUGCCAGCAGCUGCGGUAAUACGUAUGUUCCAAGCGUUAUCCGGAUUUAUUGGGCGUAAAGCGAGCGCAGACGGUUAUUUAAGUCUGAAGUGAAAGCCCUCAGCUCAACUGAGGAAUGGCUUUGGAAACUGGAUGACUUGAGUGCAGUAGAGGAAAGUGGAACUCCAUGUGUAGCGGUGAAAUGCGUAGAUAUAUGGAAGAACACCAGUGGCGAAGGCGGCUUUCUGGACUGUAACUGACGUUGAGGCUCGAAAGUGUGGGUAGCAAACAGGAUUAGAUACCCUGGUAGUCCACACCGUAAACGAUGAGUGCUAGAUGUUCGAGGUUUCCGCCCUUGAGUGUCGCAGCUAACGCAUUAACGCACUCCGCCGUGGGA